UUGACACAGAGAGAAUCAUCUGUGUUUCGCCCCGGCAAACUUCCAAUAACAUGUCAUCACUGCUUUCUAUGAGUUUUAUAUUCUUUGUUCAGCAAUUAAUUUAAAAAAUAUAACCUAUACUAGAGCAAUAAUCAUCUGUACCUUUAUUUUAACACCCCUAAUUUAAGAAAAAAAUAAAAUUUUGCAACGUCAACAGCCAAAACAAGAUAAAAUUUUCCUCUCACAUUUUAGAGAAAUAGAAAUUCUGUUAGGAAUUCCUAGAUAGGCCUGCAAUCGUUGACCACAACCAUCGCUGGACGGGUGUGUGAGAAUUAGUCACUGUUGGAAAAAUAAAAAUUGAAAUGAGUGCGUAGUGCAUACCGAUACUAAUAUGUAUGUAAUGCACAGGCACACGUACAUAGCUACUUAUUUUUAGAGUUAAAAAUUAAAUUCAGAAGAUUUUUAUAUAAGUUUUCCUAUAGAUUUUAAAAGUUAUAAGAAAUUAUUUAACUUUAAAGUUCAUUUGACCUUAACUUUGUUUAUUUUGUUAUAAGAAAUGUUAAAAAAAAACACAUUAUUUGAUUUUUUUUUAACUAUUUAACUUUUUAUUGAAAAUUUAGUAAUGGAAUAAAAUGAGAAGACUCAAUAA